rnacentral:lncRNA from 1 species
AUGGGGGCCACACAGGAAAAUGGGGGCCAGACAUAUGAAGCUCUCCUCUUUACAGGAACAACAAAAAAAGCCAGCAGAGCUGGGUCCUCCACCAGGGACUGCCCAAGAACAUUGUCCUUGAGAAUUUCACCUAUAUCCAACACUGUGCCCAAUGACAUAUUGAACGGCACCCGAAUCCGAACAACCUCACCAACAAGGGUUGAAGGUAUGGCUGCGUCGACAUCCUGUGCACUCUGUACCGUGACUAUGCCAUACUGGGGAAUCGGUGGUGGUGGCGGCGGCGGUGGCGGUGGGCGGUGCUCUAAUCGGGUCUCCAAAAGAUGGCUCAUCGUCCCUCUGCCGUUGCUGCCGCGCUCGACGUCAUUGUCGCCAUCUUGACGGGGAGUUA